rnacentral:rRNA from 1 species
AGCAAAUUUUAUGGUCAAGCUACUAAGGGCACAUGGUGGAUGCCUAGGCGCGUAAAGGCGAUGAAGGACGUGGUAAGCUGCGAUAAGCUCGGGCGAGGUGCAAACAACCCGUGACCCCGAGAUUUCCGAAUGGGGGAACCCGGCUGGUUAUAACCAGUCACUCCAGACUGAAUACAUAGGUCUGGAAGAGCAAACCCGGGGAAGUGAACCAUCUCAGUACCCGGAGGAAGAGAAAGCAACUGCGAUUGCGCUAGUAGCGGCGAGCGAACGCGCAUCAGCCUAAACCUUCGAAGUGUCAAGCCUGCUGGCGUUGCUUCGGGGGGGUCGUGGGAUCUGUUUUGGAAUGGCGGCAGCCGUUCCGGGGAGUUACAAAGUCAACGCGUAGCGGAAGAAUUCUGGAAAGUUUCGCCAUAGAGCAUAAUAGCUGCGUACGCGAAACGCGAUUGACCUUCCUUCGAAUAGACACCCGAGUAAGGCGGGGUACGAGGAGCCCUGUCUGAAUUUGGGAGGACCAUCUCCUAAGGCUAAAUACUCAUACGCGACCGAUAGUGAACCAGUACCGUGAGGGAAAGGUGAAAAGCACCCUUUAAAAGGGAGUGAAAUAGUACCUGAAACCGUGUGCUUACAAGCAGUGGGAGGGUAAUGACGGGGAGCAAUCCCCGGCCUGACCGCGUGCCUUUUGCAUAAUGAGCCGGCUAGUGAAUCUCGUUGGCAAGGUUAAGUCUUAGUGAGACGGAGCCGCAGCGAAAGCGAGUCUGAACAGGGCGUUCAGUCAGCGGGAUUCGGACGUGAAGCGUGUUGAUCUAUCCUUGGCCAGGUUGAAGCGUGGGUAACACCACGUGGAGGACCGAACCAGUGUUGGUUGAAAACAACUUGGAUGAGCUGAGGAUAGGGGUGAAAGGCUAAUCAAAACACGUGAUAGCUCGUUCUCCCCGAAAUAGCUUUAGGGCUAGCCUCGCGUGAUUACUGCGGGUGGUAGAGCACUGGAAGAGCUAGGGCCCUUCACCGGGUACCAAACUCUACCAAACUCCGAAUGCCCGUAAGUCAAGCGCGGGAGUCAGACGGCGGGGGCUAAGCUUCGUCGUCGAAAGGGAAACAGCCCAGACCCACAGCUAAGGUCCCUAAAUCCAUGCUAAGUGGAAAAGGAGGUGGGGACGCACUGACAGCCAGGAGGUUAGCUUAGAAGCAGCUAUCCUUUAAAGAAAGCGUAAUAGCUCACUGGUCAAGCAGCCCUGCACCGACAAUUCAACGGGGCUUAAGCAUGGUACCGAAGCUUGGGAUUGCGGAGUUUAACUUCGCGAUGGUAGGGGAGCAUUCCACAGGCAGGGAAGACGUACCGAAAGGACGGGCUGAGGUCUUCGGAUCUCGGCGGCGAAAGCCUGGAGCGUGUGGAAAAGACUUUGUCGGCAUAAGUAGCGAUAACGACUGUGGGAAUCAGUCGCGCCGAAAACCUAAGGUUUCCUGCGUUAAGUUCGUCUGCGCAGGGUAAGUCGGUCCCUAAGGCGAGGCCGAGAGGCGUAGUCGAUGGCAAACAGGUUAAAAUUCCUGUACCGCUAACAACCGUUUGAGUGUGGAGUGACGCAUCAGGGUAGCCGAGACCGGUGAUGGAUAUCCGGUUGAACACGUCGAGGCCGUCGGGCAGGCAAAUCCACCCGACAUCAGGCUGAGGCGUGGGACGAAGGCAAUAGCCGCUAAAGUCGGUGACCCCAGAUGCCAGGAAAAACUUCGGGCACGAGGUUGUGAUGCGACCGUACCGCAAACCGACACAGGUAGGUGGGGUGAGAAUCCUAAGGCGCAUGUGAGAAUGCUCGUUCAGGAACUCGGCAAAUUAACCCCGUAACUUCGGGAGAAGGGGUGCCACGGUAGGGUGCAAGCCCGAGGUGGCCGCAGUGACCAGCGCCAGGCGACUGUUUACUAAAAACACAGGUCUCCGCAAAGUCGUGAAGACGACGUAUGGGGGCUGACGCCUGCCCAAUGCUGGAAGGUUAAAAGGAGAGGUCAGCGCAAGCGAAGCCUUGAAUUGAAGCCCCAGUGAAUGGCGGCCGUAACUAUAACGGUCCUAAGGUAGCGAAAUUCCUUGUCGGGUAAGUUCCGACCUGCACGAAUGGCGUAACGAUCUGGCGACUGUCUUAACGAGCAGCACAGCGAAUUUGUAGUUCCGGUGAAGAUGCCGGGUACCCGCGUCUAGACGGAAAGACCCCGUGGA